rnacentral:tRNA from 1 species
GCGCCCAUGGCUCAGCGGAUAGAGCGACGGACUACGAAUCCGUAGGUCGCAGGUUCGAUUCCUGCUGGGCGCGCCA